rnacentral:rRNA from 1 species
CCUACGGGUGGCAGCAGUCGAGAAUCAUUCACAAUGGGGGAAACCCUGAUGGUGCGACACCGCGUGGGGGAAUGAAGGUCUUCGGAUUGUAAACCCCUGUCAUGUGGGAGCAAAUUAAAAAGAUAGUACCACAAGAGGAAGAGACGGCUAACUCUGUGCCAGCAGCCGCGGUAAUACAGAGGUCUCAAGCGUUGUUCGGAAUCACUGGGCGUAAAGCGUGCGUAGGCUGUUUCGUAAGUCGUGUGUGAAAGGCGCGGACUCAACCCGCGGACGGCACAUGAUACUGCGAGACUAGAGUAAUGGAGGGGGAACCGGAAUUCUCGGUGUAGCAGUGAAAUGCGUAGAUAUCGAGAGGAACACUCGUGGCGAAGGCGGGUUCCUGGACAUUAACUGACGCUGAGGCACGAAGGCCAGGGGAGCGAAAGGGAUUAGAUACCCCAGUAGUC